UGUGUACCUAUCCCUUCCCUACCUCCACGUGGUAUCGGCUGGAAACUUAGAGCAACCUUAGAGAAGAUCGGGUAACCAAUUCCGGUAGGAACUCUGGUCGUAGGCUGAUAGGGAAGG
rnacentral:ribozyme from 1 species